rnacentral:misc_RNA from 1 species
CAGCUCGGCCUUGGGAGAGCCGGAGCACAGUAGAUAAUAAUGACCGUGCCUCUGUUAAAAGCACAACAAGCCGUGCAAUGUCAAUUGGUGAAAUCAGCAGAUCUUACUCUCGUCGUGAUCUCAACCGUGAUAAUAAGCCUUCACCUGGUGCCCAAAAGUCUAGCCGAGCUCCCAGUCGCCAAUCCCCUUCAACUCCUCCUUCUAAAGCGCCUUCUAUAUCAUUAGGAACGGGGAAAACAAAGCCAC